UAUUUUAUCAUAAUGGAUUUUUGCAACAGCCGCGCAAACCUGCUCUUGGGGACGGGGCAGGGUAACUGAGGGUUUGGCCGGUACCUAGGGCCACAGGCAUUCCCUCACUGCGAAGCCGGCUUUGUCUGGUGCGGACAUCCCCGGGCGAGGGCGCGGUGGCCGCGCUGGAGGGCCUCGCCCACUGCAGGGGUGCGAUUCCUGUGACUCAGCUUUCGAGCGGGCCGAGGGCCUUCGCCCCACCCCGGCCCUCUUUGUCUCCUCAACUGGCUUCUCCUGAAAUUGGGUGGGAGGUAAAGCACCCUUAAGUGAUUCUUUUCCCAAAAGCUGCCUCACUGUAACAGGCGUAUUUUUUUGAUCGCUGUAAUUUUUUUUAAGCGAGCACCCGAAUCAAAUAACCGGAGUAUUUGCUGGUUGGAGGUUCAUCUACCUGCAUUUUAUAGCGUACGACGCCUCCCCGCUUAGAAAAGUAAGUCAAGCUCAAGCUCUGCUAUUGACUUACUGCCUAACAAUAAGGAAGUUUUUACUAUCCUGUUCCUUAUUUUGCUAAAUAUAAAAGCGAUUGCUAAGGAGGCUCGUGCCCAGUGCCAAAGACUGCAAUACCAGCAUCUCUGAAAUCGAAAGAUUAAAUUUAACCAUCUCACUGUCUUGAAGAGAGCCUUUGCAGCACAAGAUGUUUUUGAAGUGCACUUCUAAGUUACAUCCGGAAAUACAGGAGAUUUCGAUAGAGAAGAGCAAUUUUCAAAAUGGCACCUUGCCUUGGGCACGACUACCAGAAUUGCACUCCGGAAAACCCUGAAGCUCCGAGAAUCUAAGCCAGCCUUUGCGCCAUCAAACACACCCACCAGUCUCAGGAGCCUCUGCCCGCCCCUGGGGCCCUGUGUCCCCAACCCCAGAGUGUUUCGGGGACUCCCACCUGCCGCAGCUCCACCGGUGCUCAGUGUGAUGGUAACAGAAGGCUCCCUGGGCUAGUGUGCUACAAUGAGUGCAGGGGAAGCCGAGAGGAGCCUAGAGGAGCCAAAGGCAGCUCUCCAGCAUGUCAUGUCGAACUUGCCGUGCCGCUGGCUUUCCUGCUCACUGUGUCCAUCCGAUGGACUCUGAGAGCCAAGAGGAACUUUAAGGGGGAUCUCACUCAACCAAGUUCCCUCCCCGUGGCUUGAAUUCACCUCUACAACAUCCCCUCCAAGUGGUUGCUCAGUUUAUGCACAGCAAGGGCAGGAAAAAGCCAGCAGAGAAGCUUCCAGCAUACACAGGGGGCAAGGCCAAACACGGGGCAAAUGAAACACCAGGAAAGAAUGCUUGAGUUCUAGGCUUUUCCUGUGGCAUUUACAGCCGGGACUCGAUUGUCUGAACUGGAAAGGUGACAUGGACAAUGGAGAUUCACAGACAGACCGUCCAGUUAAGUUGCUAAAUCUCACUUUAGCAAACAGAUUCAAUCGAAAGCACGUAUUCAAACAAAUAUUCAUCUUCUUGUUCAUAGCAACACCAAUCCAAUAGCCCAAAGGUGGAAAGAGCCAAAUGCCCAUGGACGAAUGAAUGGCUAGAUGACAGGUAGUGUAGUCAUCCGAUGGGACAGUAUUCCGCCAUAAAAAGGAACGAAGUCUGUGCACGCUACAACAUGGGUGAACCUGGAGAGAUGCUGAGUGAAAGAAGCCAGUCACAGGAACUGCUAAUGCUAGCGAGCUUCCUUGCUGUUAUGGACUGAACGUUUGCCUGAAGGAAGGCAGCUGCCCAUAAGUCAAGCAAGAAAACAGGUUCUCAUCAGGAACCAAAUGCACCUGUGCCUUGAUCUUGGACUUCCCAGCCUCCAGAAUGAGGAAGAAACCCAGCCCACAGAGGAUAAGUGACCUGCCCAAGGAUGACUCUUGGUACUGGAGGUGUUCCCGAGGCUAAGUAAACAGCAGCAUGCCUGGG